rnacentral:tRNA from 1 species
CCCUUGAUGGCUUAGAGGGUAAAGCGUCUGCCUGCAAUGUGGGAGACCCUGGUUCGAUUCCUGGGUCGGGA